AAACGAACGGACCGGGAACGCUGUUGUGACGAACGGUCAAAUUGAAAAUGCGAAACGUACGUAGUAGUUAUCCGCGAAAUAAAUUUUCAAGAGGCAGCCAGAACUGAAUGUGAGUGUCCGAACUGUCAUAUUUUCUGAUUCCCGAAUGCUGUCGAAUUUCAGUUAUUUUUGUGAUAUAAGUUUUGUGAAUUGUGAGAGAAAAGAUUAAUCAUCGUGGGAUUUGCACGAUGAGGUUAUCGCAGUUCACUGGCUCGGAUCUCGGUUAGGAAUUCAAGUUGGAAGCAUCCACGACAACGCCGAAAAGUAUGUAUGACCUUCUUGAAAAUACUGAAAGUACAGCCCGUGUAAGUUGGAUUAACUGAAACAAAUAUAAGGAUAUUUCAGUGGGUGCUGUCGCACCUUCUGUCUCUGAAAGUUAUUUCGUCGUACAACAUUUGCCUAAAGGAAAAAAUUAUACGUUAACACAAAUACACUAUAUUGGAACCCUCAAUAGUAAAGAUGGUCUUUACAAAAUUACCUACAUUAUAAAUCAAAUUGUGGAAUCCACGUUAUAAGAACCGCAACGUAAAUACGAUGUCUUCGCUGGAAAAAUACACAGGCGAUUCUGAAUAGAGGCUCAUAAAAGCAGCGAAUAAUUCAUCGAAGCAAAAUUGGAAAUGCAGGAGGAUCCACGGAGAGUAUUGAAAAUGCUCAAGAGCGAAUUUAAAUAAUAGGUUGGGGACUGUACUUAAAAUAAGUAACAGCUGAAGGGAAAGAACAUAUAAUCCGUUAAGAAUUUUAAGUGAGGUCCUUUGAGUGUGUGCUAAGAUAGUAUUCGUAGUUCUUAUGCAUCUUUAGCGAAUCUUCAUUAAUUUUCUGCAAGAUAUAUUUUAUUGGUAUGCAUAAUUGCCUGUUAUCUCACUAACGCUGAGCGCGCGUCUUUCGGAUCUCACUCUUUGUACUCGAUUUUGUCGAAAGUAGUAACUAUUCUACGGUAUGUUCAAUAGGGUACGUAGAAUAUAAGUUUUAUUUGAAAGUCGAAGUUUUGAAGAUAAUCCAAAAUGGUACAUAAUAAUUUUUAAAAAUAUUUCUUUAAGUAUUAUUUUAAUGCAUCUUUUAGGAUGCUUAUCCUUUUGCGAGCAAUUUUGAUGUUUUCAAUAGAGUUUUUUAUGUUCAUGGUUGCAUUUUUUAAUUUUUUCCAUGGCUAGGAAACAUCUGUUUCUACGUAUGAAAAUUAGUCCACAUGAUUAUUUCAGAUUUUUAAAACGAUAUCUUCAGUUAGCAAAAACUGUUUGAAGUUCGAAACUUUGAAAACAGUGAUUUUUUAAAUAUAUUUCAAUGUGCGGUCACCAUUUGUUCAUCGAAUUAGCUUUUAUUGUACAAAUUCAUUUAUUUUGAUGUAACAAACGAUUUUUGAAACAUUUUAUUGUUAAAAAAAUUCUGGUGAUGAAUCUAGUUACGUAGAAUAGAAGUUUUUUUGGAAAUCGAAUUUUCGAAUAUAAUCGAAAAUGGUAGGGCCUGAAAAUAAAUAUAAGUCUUUUCCUUCUGAAGUUGACUGAAUCUUCAGGUUCUAAAAGGCCCUUUGGAAAGGAUUUUUUUUAAAUAUAUAAAAAAUAUCACUCUUUUCAAAGUUUCACGCUUCAACAAGUUUCUGCUAACUGAAGAUAUCGUUUUCAAAAUCUGAAAAAAAUCAUGAAAACUCAUUUUGAUAUAUAGAAAAACAUUUUUCCUUGUCAUAAUCGAAAUUUGAAAAUGUAGUUUUUUCAGCCCACCCUAAUGUUUAACUGUAUUAUAUUAAACAUAUAGGAUAUUCAUUUCUGUAAAUGGGUCUGGAGCUACUUAUCCCAAAAUUGCAAAAUAAUGAACAAAUUUUAUUUUUCCUGGUACUUUACUAUUCAUACUUCAGUAUGUGUUAAUUUUUAUUCUCA